rnacentral:rRNA from 1 species
UCCUGGCUCAGAUUGAACGCUGGCGGCAGGCUUAACACAUGCAAGUCGAGCGGUAGCACAGGGGAGCUUGCUCCCUGGGUGACGAGCGGCGGACGGGUGAGUAAUGUCUGGGAAACUGCCUGAUGGAGGGGGAUAACUACUGGAAACGGUAGCUAAUACCGCAUAACGUCGCAAGACCAAAGAGGGGGACCUUCGGGCCUCUUGCCAUCAGAUGUGCCCAGAUGGGAUUAGCUAGUAGGUGGGGUAAUGGCUCACCUAGGCGACGAUCCCUAGCUGGUCUGAGAGGAUGACCAGCCACACUGGAACUGAGACACGGUCCAGACUCCUACGGGAGGCAGCAGUGGGGAAUAUUGCACAAUGGGCGCAAGCCUGAUGCAGCCAUGCCGCGUGUGUGAAGAAGGCCUUCGGGUUGUAAAGCACUUUCAGCGAGGAGGAAGGUGGUGAGCUUAAUACGUUCAUCAAUUGACGUUACUCGCAGAAGAAGCACCGGCUAACUCCGUGCCAGCAGCCGCGGU